rnacentral:rRNA from 1 species
UACGUAGGGGGCAAGCGUUGUCCGGAUUUAUUGGGCGUAAAGAGCGUGUAGGCGGCCAGGUAGGUCAGCUGUGAAAACUCGAGGCUCAACCUCGAGACGCCGGUUGAAACCAUCUGGCUAGAGUCCGGAAGAGGAGAGUGGAAUUCCUGGUGUAGCGGUGAAAUGCGCAGAUAUCAGGAAGAACACCCGUGGCUAAGGCGGCUCUCUGGGACGGUACCGACGCUGAGACGCGAAAGCGUGGGGAGCGAACAGG